GACGAACGCUGGCGGCGUGCUUAACACAUGCAAGUCGAACGGAAAGGCCCUGCUUUUGUGGGGUGCUCGAGUGGCGAACGGGUGAGUAACACGUGAGUAACCUGCCCUUGACUUUGGGAUAACUUCAGGAAACCGGGGCUAAUACCGGAUAGGAUCUCCUGCUGCAUUGUUGGGGUUGGAAAGUUUCGGAGGUGGGGGAUGGACUCGGGGCUUAUCAGCUUGUUGGUGGGGUGGUGGCUGACCAAGGGUUUGACGGGUAGCCGGCUUGAGAGGGUGACCGGGCACAUUGGGACUGAGAUACGGCCCGGACUCCUACGGGAGGCAGCAGUGGGGAAUAUUGCACAAUGGGCGGAAGCCUGAUGCAGCAACGCCGCGUGCGGGAUGACAGCCUUCGGGUUGUAAGCCGCUUGCGACUGUGACGAAGCGUGAAUGACGGUAAUGGGUAAAGAAGCACCGGCUAACUACGUG
rnacentral:rRNA from 1 species